rnacentral:lncRNA from 1 species
GGCAGAAAUAUUAGACCCCUUCAAAGCAACGAGCUCAUAAUCUAACCUUUUGAUCUCCUUAGCCGAGGAAUAAGCUUCAGCUGCCAUAGUCUUCGCCACCUCCUUGGCAGCCUUGCUACAUCUGCAUCAUAGUAAGCAGAACAGUCAUUCUAUAUUGGGUCGUAUGCUUCGCAAAGGAACUUGGGCAAAUAACCUUUCUAACGCCAUCAACAAAAUUAGCACAAGCGUUCAUGUCUUCAAGCAGAUCUAGUCUUAACAGCACAUGGAUCUCAGUAGCCUCCCCAGAAGCAGGCUUUGUGGAUUUCUCACAGCUGGCUACGUGAGCAGUUUCUUCUUUCCCAGC